UUGAUUAUGUUAAAAAUAUCAUGAUCGCAGCAAUGCGUAAUUUCGAUUAUUUGAUUAGAGAUUGUGUCAUUAC
rnacentral:tRNA from 1 species